UACGGGGGGGGUAAGCGUUGUUCGGAAUUACUGGGCGUAAAGGGCUCGUAGGCGGCCAACUAAGUCAGACGUGAAAUCCCUCAGCUUAACUGGGGAACUGCGUCUGAUACUGGAUGGCUUGGAUUCGGGAGAGGAAUGCGGAAUUCCAGGUGUAGCGGUGAAAUGCGUAGAUAUCCGGAGGAACACCGAAGGCGAAGGCAAUGUCCUGGCGAGUGACUGACGCUGAGGUGCGAAAGCCAGGGGAGCGAACAGG
rnacentral:rRNA from 1 species